rnacentral:lncRNA from 1 species
GGUUGCUUGUGCUGGCCUGAGACUGGUUGUUGUGGUUCAUCCUCAGUCACUCUCCUCCUUUCACACUGAGGCAGUCUCUAAUUCAAACUUGGAGCUUGUGGAUAAGGUUAGCUUGCUAGCCAGCUUGUGCUAGAGAAUUCCUGUCUCCACCUUCUAGGCCUAGAAUCAUCUGUAGACUGCUCUACCUACCUGACAUUUCCAUAGUUUUCUGGGAUCCUAACUAAACUCUUUAACGCACAGAACCCCCUACCCAAUAUCUCAG